CUUUAUCACAGCGAGCUGCACACCAGGACACAGCGUACGGCUUUAUCACAGCUGCAAUGUAUAGAUCAAACCGAGCUGCACACCAGGAAACAGCGUACGGCUUUAUCACAGCUGCAAUGUAUAGAUCAAACCGAGCUGCACACCAGGAAACAGCGCACGACUUUAUCACAGCUGCAACGUAUAGAUCAAACCGAGCUGCACACCAGGACACAG